rnacentral:rRNA from 1 species
UACGUAGGGGGCAAGCGUUGUCCGGAUUAUUGGGCGUAAAGAGCGUGUAGGCGGCCUUACAGGUCAGCUGUGAAAACUCGAGGCUCAACCUCGAGACGUCGGUUGAAACCGUAAGGCUAGAGUCCGGAAGAGGAGAGUGGAAUUCCCGGUGUAGCGGUGAAAUGCGCAGAUAUCGGGAAGAACACCCGUGGCGAAGGCGGCCCUCUGGGACGGUACUGACGCUGAGACGCGAAAGCGUGGGGAGCGAACAGG